GAAUAAAUGUAUUUACACCAAAAAGAAGGAACCACAAAAUAAAGGCACUUCUUUGUGAGUGGAAAUGUCUUUACAUCACAUUGAUAGGGUGAUUAUUUAAGUGCAAAAAAUUAUACUUUGACUUGCACAACACUGCAUCUUAACACCUAAUAUGUUGAUGUGAUAUCACAGCAAACGAUCAGAUAGAUUAACUGAGCUGUGUCCCAACCAUGGUCGUUUCGUCUUUAUAUUAUUUUUCAUAUUUGAGCAAGGCUGAUUUUUUGUUGAAAGUGAUGUUUCAUUGAAACUGUGGGAAAGUACAUUUACGGGACAUUUAUGAACGUUUAAAGGACCCUCUGAAUUGUGGUUUGUUUCUUCUGCGCAGGCUGAAGAGGAAGUAACAUACAGUGUCGUGAAGCCCAGGAGGAAACCUUCACGCCAGGUUGAAGCAGAUGAGGAGAAUGUCACAUACAGCACGUUGGCUUUGGACUAGUUCUGCUGAGCACACGUGACGCCUGUUUGUUCCACCUUGUCCCUACUUAUAAUGUUCUGCAUGUAUUUAGAAAGAAGCCUUUCCCUGUUUGUUUGCAACGUGUUUCAGCAUAUGUUUGAAUACACAACUCUUGGCUUUAAAUGUUGUGUCAUUAUUCAAUAGUGUUGGAAUAUGUUCAUUAUGUCCUCAGUUGUGGUGAUGGUGUAGUACAGUGCUGAUCUGUGUUGUGCAUGAGCCACAAGGGGGCACUCGUUUGCUUUGCUGUUUUGUUUGUCCCAAAAUGUUUUUGCCGUUUUAUAUGAAGAAGUAAUGAAGGCUGUCUGACCGUGAGACUGAUGUGUCAGCGGCAGCUCGUGAAAUAAAUAUGCCGAAGACGGCUAAAGAUG